AUGGAGAACUGACUGACAUGGUUGUUAUAGCAACAGUUCAUUCAUUGAAACGUUAGAGCUUGUGUUUAUGUGUCAGCAAACCAUCUGCGUAGGCUGGAAGGACAUGAGAGAGAAUGAGAGAAUUGGAUCAAGCACCAUUUAAUCAAUUCAAACACUGGAAAUUAAAACAUACAAGCUCAACCGUUAGGAAAGCAGUAAAGCUUAUGAAACUGAAUAUGCUUAUUAACGCAAAGGCACAAUAAUGACACAAGUUUAAAAUGCUUGGUGUUUACAGACACUAAAUACCUGCCACAGCUCAAUCUCAUGACCUCUCCCACUCAACAAGACACAAAAGCGUCUCUGUGUGCCAUUCCUAAUCAUAAUUUGAUUCAUAAUUUUAUCCCAGAUUCACUCUGUCGCUAAGGAAUGAGAGGUAAACAACCUUUAAAGUCUCUUAAAGAUAUCCUCUCUUCAAGCACAUGACCCUUUAAUUUGUUUAAACUUUUAAAAACACUUAGAAAUUAAAAUGCUGAUUGUUUUUUUUCAUAUACAUGUCAACAGCCUUUUCAAACAUUUCAGCAACUGCAAAAGUUAGUUUACGUUAAAUAAAUAGACGCUCGUGAACGCCGUCACUUGAGAAGUAACCAUAGCAACAGCUCGCCGAUCAAGCGAUUUCAGUUAGGAUCAGUAACGGACGGUAGCCUGUAUCAACAACCCAUUGUGUAUUGCUGAAGCUUCUGAGACUGAGCUUUUAAGAGGAGCAGCUUGAGAAUACAUCCAACACACUGAUGAAGAACACAAAGGUGUGUGAGAUGGUCAGACCUGCACUGACGGUCACUGCGUCCACAAACUGCUCUCGCCAAGAAUGAGUGCCGAUGACCAGCGCCAGGACUCCUCGAUCACGACCUCCAGCCGGCUGUGCUCCCCUAGAAUAGGUUUGCCCAUCUCCGCUAUCUUCCUGGCCUCCUCCUCCUCCGUGCUCAACUGUCCCUCCGGAUCCUCUGAAAGAGACAGAUGAUAGAAGGAAA